UACGGGGGGGGCAAGCGUUGUUCGGAAUUACUGGGCGUAAAGGGCUCGUAGGUGGCCAACUAAGUCAGACGUGAAAUCCCUCGGCUUAACCGGGGAACUGCGUCUGAUACUGGAUGGCUUGAGUUCGGGAGAGGGAUGCGGAAUUCCCGGUGUAGCGGUGAAAUGCGCAGAUAUCGGGAGGAACACCAAUUGCGAAGGCAGCUUGCUGGGACGGUACUGACGCUGAGGCGCGAAAGCGUGGGGAGCAAACAGG
rnacentral:rRNA from 1 species